rnacentral:rRNA from 1 species
CAGUCGCCGCGGUAAUACGUAGGUGGCAAGCGCUGUCCGGAAUUAUUGGGCGUAAAGGGCUCGCAGGCGGUUUCUUAAGUCUGAUGUGAGAGCCCCCGGCUCAACCGGGGAGGGUCAUUGGAAACUGGGAAACUUGAGUGCAGAAGAGGAGAGUGGAAUUCCACGUGUAGCGGUGAAAUGCGUAGAGAUGUGGAGGAACACCAGUGGCGAAGGCGACUCUCUGGUCUGUAACUGACGCUGAGGAGCGAAAGCGUGGGGAGCGAACAGGAUUAGAUACCCGAGUAGUCCCUGUCUCUUAUAU